rnacentral:rRNA from 1 species
UACGUAGGGGGCAAGCGUUGUCCGGAAUUACUGGGCGUAAAGCGCGUGUAGGCGGGACGGCGAAGUCGGACGUGAAAGGCUCGGGCUCAACCCGAGAUGGCCGUUCGAAACUGCCGUUCUUGAGGGUCGAAGAGGAGAGUGGAAUUACCUGGUGUAGCGGUGAAAUGCGCAGAUAUCAGGAGGAACACCGGUGGCGAAGGCGGGUCUCUGGGCCGAUACUGACGCUGAGGAGCGAAAGCGUGGGGAGCGAACAGG